rnacentral:lncRNA from 1 species
AUGGAGUCAGCCCACGUGAAUACCACUAGUGUCAUACUCUUCUUGUCUUGUAGCAAGUUACAUUUCCAGGAAAAACGUAAUACUGUAAUUCAGGUUUUCACUAGAUUUUUGUAUGAUUUUAGACAUUUAAAAAUCCUAAUAAUGCUUGCAGUGAGCUAUGCAGUGUUUUCCUUUUUUAAACAACUUGUGUGUCAAUUUUAUGAAAAUCAUUACUGCGUGGAACAGGAUUGGACUCUUACAAUAGUACUUGAUAUUCAUCAAAACACGCAGUGUCAUAUAUACUCCUGGGGUGCAAAUAAGCCACCUACUCAGUUCAAGUUGCGUGAACUAUGCAUUUUUUUAAAAAAUUUAACAGCUAUUGAGUGUAUAUUUUUCAUAGACACUUGAGAACUAGAUUUUUUUACUGUGUACAUUUAACUUUGGCUUUCAUAAGCAAUUCGUUGAAGGACUGAGAUGCCCUUUACGUUCUGUGAAGCAGUUCUUUAAGGAUAGGUAUUUGUGUAUUGAAUAUNNNNNNNNNNNNNNNNNNNNNNNNNNNNNNNNNNNNNNNNNNNNNNNNNNNNNNNNNNNNNNNNNNNNNNNNNNNNNNNNNNNNNNNNNNNNNNNNNNNUGAAUAUGUUUUAUUCUUAAAAUGUAUUCAUACCAGUUUAGUUUGAACAAAAUAUUGGCCCCUUUGGUGUUGAAAGACUCCUGCACAUUGAAUAUGCUGUGAAUAUUUGGUGUCAACUCUGAAAAUAGUUUAGAACAAAGGAGUAAAGGGAAUUAGAAAUCAAUAUUUAUUAAGCAGUUAGUAUGCUCCAGUUAUUCUUUAAGGAGAAUCAUCUAAGUAUUCAGCUAAAUUGUCACAAGUCUUUGAAACUGUAUAUUAUGUCAUGGGUGAGGAAAUCACUGCUGUGGAGGAUGAACUAUUUAACCCAUGAUUAUUCUGAUAGGAAGGUAAUCUCUGAUGAACUCAAUGUCCAAAGCAGGUCUUGCUUAAAUACUUAAAGGAUGUAUAGUUUCCAUUACCACCUUAGGCUAAAAUUAUGUCAUUUAACAUUAUUUCAUAGAAUCUGAUCAUAAUAUGGUUAUAUCUCACAAAAUGGAUGUUUUCUCAUAUGAAUUAUUUCAUGUAAUAGAAACUUGGCUUCCCUGGUGGCUCAGACAGUGAAGAAUCUGCCUGCACACAGGAGACUUGAGUUUUACCCCUCGGUCAGGAAAAUCCCUUGGAGAAGGGAAUGGCUACCCCCUCCCGUAUUUUUGCCUGGAAAGUACCAUGGACAGAGGAACCUGACGAGCUGCAGUGAAUGGGGUUGCAGAGAGUUGGAUGUGACUGAGUGACUAACACUUUCACUUUCAAUAGAAACUUAAGUCUUUUUUUUUUUGGUCUUUUUGUUUAAUUUACUUAAAAUAGUUUACUGGAUGGAGAAGCCCAAAGCAUAAUCUGAAUUCCUGCAUUCACAAUGAAAUGCAGAAAAAGGGAGAUCUGAAUAGUUAGUUUUCUCAGUCUUGGACUAUAUCUGAUACAAUGAAUUUCACUUAUCUUAGGUUUUCAUUUUUCAUAGUGAAAAGUGAUACCAUGCUGAAUUAAUAACUCAUGAAAUUCAUGUCUGUAUGAAAAUUUGACAUUUGUAUUCACUCUCAAGCUACUGUAAAGGAAGGAAUUUUGUUAUCUUGCUGAAAAUAACCAAAAUAAAUGUAUUAAUAUUUCCUGAGUUGAUCAAUAAGAAAUUUGUAUGGAUUUCUCCAAAUGCAAAAUUGUCUUUUUGGUACUGAGAUACAAAUGUGCAGAGACUCCCAUGUGGGGGGAGUUUGAGGGGCUGGGGGCUGAUCAGAGACGAAGGUAUAAAUGUGAGAGGCUGUGAUAUACAGCAGGCUCUAUAAGUUGAUGUUCGAAGUAGCUUGCAUGGGAGUGGUGUUCAGAGCAUGAGAGUUUCUAGAGGUUUCCAGAAGUGUCUAGAAGACCACACCCUGAACGGGAGGCGGGCAGGGUGGGAGGGCUCAUGUGGGAAAGGAGAAUGGAAGAGGGCCUUACAUGUUUAGGUGAUGUCAUGGAACAGUACAGGAGGGAGCCUCCAGGCCAGAGGACUCCAAAGGGCAGGCAUGGCUCAGAGUCUGAAUAAGUCAUCUAGUAUGGGGGCAUACACAGCAGAAAUGUGUUGUCUCCACAUUCUGGAAGCUGGAAAGCCAAGAUCAGGUGUUGGCAUCUUGGCUUGUAGAUGGUCCUCUUCUCACUGUUUCCUUGUAUGACUUUUUUUCUCCAUGCGUCUGGGUUCUUACAAGAUUGGAUGCAGUCCUGAAGUUAAGUAAGUUUUACCUUAUAGCUUCUCUAGAUAACUAUAUCCAAAUACAGUCACCCCAUGAGGCCGGUCGGGGUGAGGGCUUAGCACAGGCAUGUCUGAGGGACACAGCUUAGCUCAUCUCAGGGACCAACAGCCUCAAGGCUCCAUCUAUCAAUGGGCAGCCACUGCCAGGCAAGGAUUUGCAAAGGUUCUAAAUGGCCACACAUGUGUGAGUUUGGAGUUAUUUUUAAAAUAAUUGAAUGUGUAAAAAAGGGAGUUUUGUACCAGUGGGUUUUUGAGCUAACAGUUUACUUCUUACCAUGAAGACAUACAGAGCCAACGUGGAGGCCAUUUUUGCUCACAUAGAUGACACAGGUCUGACCCUGAGGUCAAUGGGACUGAUGCUUCUUGCUCACACACCAAGGCAGGCAUCCAAGACAGGAUAAGUUCUCUGUCUUCUUUCUUCCAUUACUGCUUGUUGUUGAAGUACCAACCACCCUGCCCCUUCAAUACCCAGCUCAGAUGUCCAGUUGAAAGCAAGUACGUCAAACUCAAAUUUAACUGGGAUUACUCUACCUCAUUUUUAAUAAUGUCAUGAAGUUUUUAAUAAGAAUGUGUAUUUCAUUUAGCUCACAUUUCUAGAUAUUUCUUUACAUCUGGAUUAGAUAUUGCUGCUGCUCUGAAGCAGUUCAUGACUUUCUCUGGCAAAGCGGCCACUGCCUUGGUGCAGUUGCCCCAUAGUCGCCUACAUCAUUCUGGACAGCGUCACGGCACCUGUCACCCGGUAGCAUAGCUGUGCUUCAUUACAUGUGCAUCUCCCUAAAUCUGUCCGUUAUGUUCCAUCUAGGACUGUGGUCUCUGCAUGAAAUUCCAUUUUCUAGAAGAUAACCUGGUGAAUGAUAGGUGAACAUCAAAUAUUACUGAUCACUUCAAUGAAUAGAGUGAGGAAGAGGCUCCCAGACUGAGACACAGUAACAAACUCUACACUGACAGGUGCAUUUCUUUCCAGAGCUUUUGUGGUAAAUCUUAUAGACAAAGAAUGGGAUAUACAACAUCAUUUGCUUCCUUAGUGUGGAGAGUAGUGGUUGAGAUUACUUCUUUUUAAGAGUGGAGAACUACCAUGAAAAUGAAAUGGACAUUAUUUCUGCCGAGGCUCCUUUAAAAAGCCCAAGUUUGGUUUAUUGUAAUGAAGGGUCAGCAUUCUUAUUACUGUUGAGAGUGAGCUUUGAUUCUGAUCUGGCUGUUUCUGGGGAGGGAAGUAGUUUUCCUACUGGUGUAAGUUGAAAAAUAAGAAUAGCAGCUCCUACCAAGACAUGAGUUGUACACUCACCAAACAGUCUCCCAGUGAGUCUCUAGUUUCCACAAUCAUGUUUUGAAGAAGUUUCUAACAUGAGGUUUAAUUUCUGUUUCUUUAUUACAUAUCAGAUACUGUAUUUGGACAGUUGGGAUUUCCUUUCUCAUUAGACAGGGCAUUAUACUAGUUUUACUAUGUGAAAACUAGGAAAAACAAGAAUUUUCAAGGUUGAUUGAGUCAGAUGCUCUCAGUAGCUAACUGUUGAGUUGGACUUUGCAUCAGUUUUUCUGACUUGACUCCUACUUGUUGCCCAUUAUUAGUAUUACUGUGAUGAUUCUUACUAAGUGAGCAGUGGUCCCAGAUCGAGCUUGUCCAGGAACCAAAGGAUCCUCAUAGUUCAUGUCUUCAGUAUCUACACCAUCAGGAGAGACUAAAAGCAAAGACACAGAGGAGCACACUUGCUAAAAGUCAAAUGUUAUACAAAGUUAUAGGCAGCUUAUAUUGCUGCUCAAACAAGUACUUUGGCAAGGCCUUUGU